UAAACAGUCUUAAGUGUCUUUAAGUGUGGGAGAGCCAUGCUUCGGCACGAAUGGGCCGGCUCGACCGGAGUAAUACCACGGCCUCACAGAAAACCGACGUGAAACAACGCUUGCGUUGUGUUUCGUUGUGUGAGUGAGGUUACCGGAGGCCCAAUUCCCCCCUUCCCAAUCUUCCCCAUCCCCAUUCCCGAACAACAACCCUUAAAUUCCUAACUCCCAAAAAGCCGGUAACGCACUUGUAAAGCCUCUGGUGUUUCAAGUGUCCAUGGGCGGCGGCGAUUGCUUACCAUCAGGUAAUACGUCUGCUCGAUUACCGGCUUGUUUCAUAAAAAAG